rnacentral:rRNA from 1 species
ACUCAAAGGAAUUGACGGGGGCCCGCACAAGCGGUGGAGCAUGUGGUUUAAUUCGAUGCAACGCGAAGAACCUUACCUGGUCUUGACAUCCACGGAAGUUUUCAGAGAUGAGAAUGUGCCUUCGGGAACCGUGAGACAGGUGCUGCAUGGCUGUCGUCAGCUCGUGUUGUGAAAUGUUGGGUUAAGUCCCGCAACGAGCGCAACCCUUAUCCUUUGUUGCCAGCGGUCCGGCCGGGAACUCAAAGGAGACUGCCAGUGAUAAACUGGAGGAAGGUGGGGAUGACGUCAAGUCAUCAUGGCCCUUACGACCAGGGCUACACACGUGCUACAAUGGCGCAUACAAAGAGAAGCGACCUCGCGAGAGCAAGCGGACCUCAUAAAGUGCGUCGUAGUCCGGAUUGGAGUCUGCAACUCGACUCCAUGAAGUCGGAAUCGCUAGUAAUCGUGGAUCAGAAUGCCACGGUGAAUACGUUCCCGGGCCUUGUACACACCGCCCGU